UACAGAGGUCCCAAGCGUUGCUCGGAAUCACUGGGCGUAAAGCGCACGUAGGCGGCUUCUUAAGUCAGGGGUGAAAUCCUGGAGCUCAACUCCAGAACUGCCUUUGAUACUGGGAAGCUUCGAGUCCGGAAGAGGUGAGUGGAACUGCGAGUGUAGAGGUGAAAUUCGUAGAUAUUCGCAAGAACACCAGUGGCGAAGGCGGCUCACUGGUCCGGUACUGACGCUGAGGUGCGAAAGCGUGGGGAGCAAACAGG
rnacentral:rRNA from 1 species